rnacentral:rRNA from 1 species
GACGAACGCUGGCGGCGUGCUUAACACAUGCAAGUCGAGCGGAAAGGCCUCCUUCGGGGGGUACUCGAGCGGCGAACGGGUGAGUAACACGUGAGUGAUCUGCCCUCUACUUCGGGAUAACUGCUUGAAAGGGUAGCUAAUACCGGAUAUGACCUGCCACUGCAUGGUGGUGGGUGGAAAGGGUUUUUCUGGUGGGGGAUGUGCUCGCGGCCUAUCAGCUUGUUGGUGGGGUAAUGGCCUACCAAGGCUUUGACGGGUAGCCGGCCUGAGAGGGUGACCGGCCACACUGGGACUGAGACACGGCCCAGACUCCUACGGGAGGCAGCAGUGGGGAAUAUUGGACAAUGGGCGGAAGCCUGAUCCAGCAACGCCGCGUGAGGGAUGACGGCCUUCGGGUUGUAAACCUCUUUCAGCACAGACGAAGCUGACUCCACGUGUGGGGUGGGUGACGGUAUGUGCAGAAGAAGCACCGGCCAACUACGUGCCAGCAGCCGCAGUAAAAC